AGAGCACAAAGUCACCCUAUGAGCACUUCCAUUGGAUUGAUUUUCAAUUGGUUUCAAUCAAAGUUUUUAAUCAGGGUGACGUUUUACCAAACUUGUAAUUUGCUACUCCACCUAUCUAGAAAAAACGUAAUCCAGGGGAUGAAGCUGAGCAUAAAAAAAAUAAAUUGGAUGUACUUUGAACGAUACUAUCGAUAAAAUUAUGUUGACCAUCAAGUGAUGAAUAUAAAAAAAGGUAACACGAGAUAGCAGUGGGUAUACGAAAAUAGAAAGAGAGAUUGAAUUAUGAGUGGCGGUAAGUAGAGGAGAGCCAUUCAACAAGAUUUUCAUCGCUGAGAUCUGGAACCUUGGCCUAUUUAAACGUUUUUUUUCCAUUAGUGUUGCUUGGAGGACAACACUCAUCCUUAUAUGAGUUACGAUUGGCUGCGUUAAAUCGAAUUACCGCGAAUUUAGCAAAUUAGUGGGUGCUAGCAUUAUAUAUUUUGUCAGCUUACAUUUAAACGUAUAAGGACUACAUGAAAACAGUGGCAACUUGCCAUUCAAAUUUUUAAAAAAUUUAAUCCUUGAAAGUCAAUUCUCCAGAUUUUAUUAUCAUCAUUUAAACAUAUAGUUUUUGUAAUAUGGAAAAUGAAAAAUAAUUUCAAGGUACACUCCAACAGACUUGGCAAUCAUAAAUAUUAAAUUAAAUUACUUGUUUAUCUUGAUAGUCUAAUGAAAAAAUAACAUUAAGUUAAUUUUCUAACAAAGAUUAAUUGAUUUGAGUUUUUAAAUACAUCCGAGUUUUCAUAAGACACCUAAAUAAUUUACAUUCGAAUCAUAUUGAACGUUGGAUACUCUAUUAAAGUAAAAUUUUCAUGUAGUUAUCGCGCUGAAAUUAAUGAAGGGUUAAAUUGCUGUUGCUAAAAUGAGAUAUUCCAUCGGUUCCCAAGAGACCCAUUGGUUGGAUGGUUUUGUUCCUACAUCUGCGAAUUGCCAAUACUUGGGCAGUAUAUAUAUCAUCAACAGGAAACUCCUCUCGAGAACUUCCGGGACCCGUGUGAUCCAUCAUACUCGCAAUGCUUUUCAAUCCAUUGGAAAUAAAUGAUAUUCAUAUGUGAAAAAGCAAUUUAAUCCACUUAACAAAAAAAAAACAUUAUUCAGAUAAAAUUGUUUGCGGUUACGAUGACAAUAAAAAUAUCAGAGUGUAAACAGACAAAUUAUUAAUGGUUGAUAUAAUAACGCGUCAUAGUGGGAAUUCUGUUACACAAUGUGGAUGACACGGGAUGGCACACGAUUUGUUAUUAAAAUUUUCGCUUUUCACUCCCACACCCAGUGGUCUCUGUGUUAUAUAUAAAUAUAUGACGGUUAAAAAAAUUCAAAUAUCAGCGAGUUGAACCAGGCCAGCUUCCACAAUUAUCCAGCUUAUUAUUAUUUGGGUGAAAAAAUAAAGAUGAAAGGAGAUAGACCAGAAAACAAAAUGAAAAUAAAGUCGAGUGUUGAUUUUGUUUUUUGCGUCGAAAAAAAUUCACCAUCAAGAUGCUUUGAUAAUACAUUUUUAAACAAAACAUUGUUGAUUUUUUUACAGCAACUAAAGGUGACGUCAGAAAGGAAAAAAGCUCCUGGAGGUAUUCGAUGUUGUUUCGGAGAGAUAUCACUGAGAUAAAAGGAGAUGCAACAUCCGGAAGAGCAUGUAAGCCUGAGGGAAAUCACCAAGUAUGUAAAGAGAGCUAGAUCGCCGCACUGAGUCACAUCUUUAGAGUUUUAUAAAUGUCUUUUGCUAUUAUUUAAAAGUCACCUUUUGUGUAAUUCUAUAAAAAGGUAUUUUUUUUUAAACCCGACAUUAAUAAUGUCGUUACGUAAAUCAUAGUGCAGUAGCUUAUUAUUUAGUAAGUUAAGUUGGAAGCAACUUCGUUAAGCUUCGAUAAAUUACUCGCUUGACUUCACCACUUGAUGUGCAUUCUGAUUGCUUUCAUUUCCCUUCUACAAUGACACCGUGACCUGGUGAACUCUCGCCCUCUUCUCGCCGAGUUUCUCACUUUAGCAUAUAUAUAUAUCAACAUAACUUCUCCUUUCAACGAUAUUUUUUAGUGAAUUAUUUUCAGGGAUAAGGACACUUUAAUUUAUUUUUCCUUACUCUGUUGGAAAUUAAAUUUUAAGACUCUUUAUGCAGCCAACAUUAAAAACACCUACAGCCACAGAAAAAUCUUACGACCAUGAAAAUAUUAAGUAUUUUCUACUGAUAGUAGCCGACUAAUAUCCGCGUAACAUGAAACGGCUGGAUUACUUCAAUGGAUCAAGGAUAGAAGAAGAAUAAAAAUAUAUAACCUUUAUUUAUUUAUUAUAAUAUAGAGUAAUAGCAUAGAAAUGUUAUAAAAAAAAUUACUCCAUAGAGCUGGAACGAAAGUAACAUGUAUAGAGUUACUAUAUUUAGACGUCAAUGUUCACAUAUUGAAGAUUUCAUUCAUCAUUUUCAUUCAUACGUGUAAGUAGUCUUCUGAAGUACUCGGACAAUCGUCUUGAU